rnacentral:tRNA from 1 species
GAGAGUAUAGCUCAGUGGCAAAGCAUAUGCUUAGCAUGCAUGAGGCCCUGGGUUAAAUCCCCAGUACCCUCC